rnacentral:misc_RNA from 1 species
AAGUCGUAACAAGGUUUCCGUAGGUGAACCUGCGGAAGGAUCAUUAACACGUAUCCAACGUUAAACCCCCCUGUGAACCUUCAGUGUGCUCGCACUUUCUUAGAAAAGGUAGCAAUCCCUGGUAAAUCAUUGCCGAACAGUUUUGAUUCAGGGACUUCUGCGUAGACUGUGCUUGAGCGCGAGGCAAGUGGCCUGGCAUUCCUCUGCUUGUUGGUGUCUGAAAGUGUCACCAGCUCUGUACGAAUGGCGCAGUCACGAUCGCUAGAGGCCGACACGGCCGGCGACCGGGUCACUGGGCGCGAGCCCCCCUCGUCACCUUUGCAUGAACGGCCACCAAACUCGAACAACUGUUAACAAUGGAUAUCUUGGUUCUC